ensembl:lncRNA
CAGGGCUCCUCUCUGCCGUGUUAUCAGCACUGCUUGUGGUGCCCUCAUUUUUAUGCAGUGUACACGUCCUUGUAAGGAUGGCUGGAAUACAGCAUUCAGAGCAAGACUUGUGUUCUUCCCCAGAUCGCACAUCAUGAAGUUACAUUUCCUUAGGCACAGCUUCCCUUGUUCGGGAACGGACCCUCGCUGGCUUCUCAUGGACUCCCUUGGGUCACUCUCAUGUCCCUCUGCCACCCGGUGUGUGAGGAGCUGUGUAUAACAGGACAGGGCUGAGAGAUGUAUGUGCUGCUGCUUGUGAGCAGGUAAAACACUGGGUGAUUGUUGGCAGGCCAAGCACAGCUGAGGGAAGUUGCAUUCAUGCUGCAGGGAAAUCCUCCCAGGGAUAACUCCACAGGCUUUUUGCUCAAUCCAUCCAGCCAUCAACCUGUAUGAAACUUUCAGAUGCAUAAUAAUCUUUAAGAUUUUGGCUACUCUGUUAAAUUUGCUUAAAGUUAGCUCAGAGGUCUAGAGAUUCAAAAAGGAAAAAUGAGCCAAAGAGCAGACAGAGAUUGGUGAAGUUUUUGUCCCAUAAAAACAAAGAAACAAACAAAAACAAGCA